UACGUAGGGUGCGAGCGUUGUCCGGAUUUAUUGGGCGUAAAGAGCUCGUAGGCGGUUUGUCGCGUCGGCCGUGAAAUCUCCACGCUUAACGUGGAGCGUGCGGUCGAUACGGGCAGACUUGAGUUCGGUAGGGGAGACUGGAAUUCCUGGUGUAGCGGUGAAAUGCGCAGACUAUCAGGAGGAACACCGGUGGCGAAGGCGGUUCUCUGGGCCUGUACUGACGCUGAGGAGCGAAAGCGUGGGGAGCAAACAGG
rnacentral:rRNA from 1 species